AAGCUUUCGUCUCGUGGGUGCGAAAGGUAACCGAAGCGGCUCAGGAAGGCAGCUGUCACUGAGCCCCUGGAACAGAGCGAGAGUAUCCCGAAACCUCCAUAGUCACCACUUCACUUCACCUCUUUCUGGAAACCAGGAGAACAAUAUGGUCGACCUAUCAGUGGGCAAAAAGAGGUGCAUGGCAUGGCCCAGCCAAGUCAGAACAACUACUGGAAAGCCAUGGAAGGCAUCUUCAUGAAGCCCAGUGAGUUGUUGAAGGCAGAAGCCCACCAUGCAGAGCUGUGAAUCUAGAGGCUCUGAGCCACUGUUAACGCACAAUGUUCACAGACAUCUGUUGCUGCCUCACCUUGGGAUCCCUGCCACAAGUUCCUUGGGCAGUGGCCAUGUCACCAUUGAGAUGAAGAUAUACAACAGAAAAUAGUGGCUGUGUUUGGAAGCUUCAGCCCUGCACAUUUGAACUAGUCACUCUCCCAGACUUGCGUGGGUCAGUUCUUUCUGAGUAGAGGACUUGCUGGUAAAGGGGCAGAUGCU
rnacentral:lncRNA from 1 species